UUGCAAAAGGCAAAACAUGGAAAUUCCCUUUCUCAGAUCGAGAGGGGACAUCAGCAAUUUAAGCCCCAAAGCACCCCUAUUUUUUUUUUCAAAAAAGAAAAAGAAAUUCUCCAGCCAACUGAAUGAGGAAGAGAUGUCCCAACUUGCGGCUGGCCAUGGUUAUAGAUUUUAGUACAGCUUUUGGGAUUAAAAUACGGAAUCUAUCGUAAUUUAACCAGCUUCUGCUGCCAAUACCUGUGAGAAGUUUGACCAGUUGGGCACGCUUUUAAGUAUUAGAUCUACUGAAAUAGCAUUGACAGAUAAAUGUUUAGAUGUUUCAGAGACUAUUUUAAAAAGAUGCAUUCACGCAAUUUCAAAUGUUCACAAACUGAAGCUUAUUACUGCAGACCAAACAAAAGAAGGAAUGUACCUCAGGAUGGGCAAUAUUCAUGUUCUAAAAUUGAGAAAGUAGAGGAAAUAGUAAAGGUUCGUGGAGGAAGUACCUUCUGCUUCACCUGAACAUUGCAAGCGUAUCCUCCACAUUUACAGAAACUAAUCCAAAUCAUUUGUUUUUUGCUGUCCCAAAAAUCUCAACUGAGCUUAGUGCCCCACCAUACCACCCAUAUUUCCAAAACACACAACAAUAGGAAAAUGCUUCACUGCCAGCAAUUUACUACAUCAAGUACCUUUCAGAAAAGAAGCCAUUGACAACUAUAACAUCGGCACAUGAAAGGAGGUGACGAAUGACCAGAUAGAUACUUCAAUAAAACGCGUGAAGCUUUGUCAAAAAAAAUGAAAAGUACGAUGCCUUUCUUAUAUGGUGGCAACGUAGGAUAAAUAAAAAUGUAGAUCUUCUUUGCAUAAAAUUUGGAUGCAGAGUUCAGGACUUCAUUUGUACAAGCACAUCCACAUGGAUCAACACAGGCUUGUAUAAAGAGUGGAACCUUUUCUGGCCU
rnacentral:lncRNA from 1 species